CAGUCGAACGAUGAUGCCCUGCUUGCAGGGUGGAUUAGUGGCGAACGGGUGAGUAACACGUGGGUGAUCUGCCCCGCACUUCGGGAUAAGCCUGGGAAACUGGGUCUAAUACCGGAUACGACCCCCUGGUAGGUCAGGGGGUGGAAAGAUUUUAUCGGUGUGGGAUGAGCCUGCGGCCUAUCAUCUUGUUGGUGGGGUAAUGGCCUACCAAGGCGUCGACGGGUAGCCGGCCUGAUAGGGUGAUCGGCCACCUUGGGACUGAUACACGGCCCACACUCCUACGGGAGGCAGCAGUGGGGAAUAUUGCACAAUGGGCGCAAGCCUGAUGCAGCGACGCCGCGUGGGGGAUGACGGCCUUCGGGUUGUAAACUCCUUUCGACAGGGACGAAGCUAAUGUGACGGUACCUGUAGAAGAAGCACCGGCUAACUACUUGCCAGCAGCCGCGGUAAUACGUAGGGUGCGAGCGUUGUCCGGAAUUACUGGGCGUAAAGAGCUCGUAGGUGGUUUGUCGCGUCGUCUGUGAAAUCCCGGGGCUUAUCCUCGGGCGUGCAGGCGAUACGGGCAUAACUUGAGUGCUGUAAGGGAGACUGGAAUUCCUGGUGUAGCGGUGAAAUGCG
rnacentral:rRNA from 1 species